CAUGAACCAUUGAGGAGAAGAGUACGUUAAGGUAGUGUGUCAAGAGAGGGAGUGCCUGUGGCUGUAAGCACUUCUACAUACACUUAUCAGAAAGACAUCUCUUAGGUUUCUCGUCGAAAGCAAGUUUGUAAGUAGGCGUAGAACGUAGCAGGCGUUAACUGCUAGAGUGGAAGCUAGUUGCUUCAAUAAGGGUGGCAACGCGGGUAUAAUGAUGAAUCCCGUCCCUUUU
rnacentral:ncRNA from 1 species